rnacentral:rRNA from 1 species
UACGUAGGGUGCGAGCGUUAUCCGGAAUCAUUGGGCGUAAAGAGCUCGUAGGCGGUUCAGCAAGUCGGCUGUGAAAGUCCGAGGCUCAACCUCGGAAUUGCAGUCGAUACUGCUGUGACUCGAGUCCGGUAGAGGAGAAUGGAAUUCCCGGUGUAGCGGUGAAAUGCGCAGAUAUCGGGAGGAACACCAGUAGCGAAGGCGGUUCUCUGGGCCGGCACUGACGCUGAGGAGCGAAAGCGUGGGGAGCAAACAGGAUUAGAAACCCGCGUAGUCC